GAUGAACGCUGGCUACAGGCUUAACACAUGCAAGUCGAGGGGAAACGACGGGGAAGCUUGCUUCCCCGGGCGUCGACCGGCGCACGGGUGAGUAACGCGUAUCCAACCUGCCUCUGACUGAGGGAUAACCCGUCGAAAGUCGGCCUAAUACCUCAUGGCAUCGUCUGCGGGCAUCCAACGACGAUUAAAGAUUUCAUCGGUCAGUGAUGGGGAUGCGUCUGAUUAGCUUGUUGGCGGGGUAACGGCCCACCAAGGCGACGAUCAGUAGGGGUUCUGAGAGGAAGGUCCCCCACAUUGGAACUGAGACACGGUCCAAACUCCUACGGGAGGCAGCAGUGAGGAAUAUUGGUCAAUGGGCGAGAGCCUGAACCAGCCAAGUAGCGUGCAGGAUGACGGCCCUAUGGGUUGUAAACUGCUUUUAUGCGGGGAUAAAGUGAGGGACGUGUCCUUCAUUGCAGGUACCGCAUGAAUAAGGACCGGCUAAUUCCGUG
rnacentral:rRNA from 1 species